AUGGAAGUGAUGACAAUUUCCCCAAAUGAUCGAAUCUGAUUAUACGAAGCGAAUUUAAUUUCCCUUCAACAAGGAAAUCAAGCCAAUGUUCUGAUCCUU
rnacentral:snoRNA from 1 species